GAUGAACGCUGGCGGCGUGCCUAAUACAUGCAAGUCGAGCGAACAGAUAAGGAGCUUGCUCCUUUGACGUUAGCGGCGGACGGGUGGGUAACACGUGGAUAACCUACCUAUAAGACUGGGAUAACUUCGGGAAACCGGAGCUAAUACCGGAUAACAUAUUGAACCGCAUGGUUCAAUAGUGAAAGGCGGCUUUGCUGUCACUUAUAGAUGGAUCCGCGCCGUAUUAGCUAGUUGGUAAGGUAACGGCUUACCAAGGCAACGAUACGUAGCCGACCUGAGAGGGGGAACGGGCAAAAUGGAACUGGGAAAAGGUCCAGACUCCUAAGGGAAGCAGCAGGAGGGAAUCUUCAGCAAUGGGGGAAAGCCUGAAGGAGCAAAGCCGCGUGAGUGAUGAAGGUCUUCGGAUCGUAAAACUCUGUUAUCAGGGAAGAACAAAUGUGUAAGUAACUGUGCACAUCUUGACGGUACCUGAUCAGAAAGCCACGGCUAACUACGUG
rnacentral:rRNA from 1 species